AAAGUGGCGGACGGGUGCGUAACACGUAGGAACCUGCCCUGGAGCGGGGGGAUAACCACGGGGAAACUGUGGCUAAUACCGCAUGAGCUUGAAGUGACGGGAGUGCUUCAAGCAAAAUUCAGGUGCUCUGGGAGGGGCCUGCGGCCGAUUAGUUAGUUGGUGGGGUAAAGGCCUACCAAGGCGAUGAUCGGUAGCUGUUCUGAGAGGAAGACCAGCCACACGGGAACUGAGAGACGGUCCCG
rnacentral:rRNA from 1 species